rnacentral:rRNA from 1 species
GUUGGUGGGGUAAUGGCCUACCAAGGCGACGACGGGUAGCCGGCCUGAGAGGGCGACCGGCCACACUGGGACUGAGACACGGCCCAGACUCCUACGGGAGGCAGCAGUGGGGAAUAUUGCACAAUGGGCGAAAGCCUGAUGCAGCGACGCCGCGUGAGGGAUGACGGCCUUCGGGUUGUAAACCUCUUUCAGCAGGGACGAAGCGCAAGUGACGGUACCUGCAGAAGAAGCACCGGCCAACUACGUGCCAGCAGCCGCGGUAAUACGUAGGGUGCGAGCGUUGUCCGGAAUUACUGGGCGUAAAGAGCUCGUAGGCGGUUUGUCGCGUCGUCUGUGAAAACCCGCAGCUCAACUGCGGGCUUGCAGGCGAUACGGGCAGACUUGAGUACUGCAGGGGAGACUGGAAUUCCUGGUGUAGCGGUGAAAUGCGCAGAUAUCAGGAGGAACACCGGUGGCGAAGGCGGGUCUCUGGGCAGUAACUGACGCUGAGGAGCGAAAGCGUGGGUAGCGAACAGGAUUAGAUACCCUGGUAGUCCACGCCGUAAACGGUGGGCGCUAGGUGUGGGUUCCUCCACGGG